AUUCUACCCAUGUGGGGAAGGAUGAGAAGCUUCGACUAAGGUUCGAUUCGAGCGCAGCGAGAAAGCGUUGCCAACGGCAACGGCCCGAAGGGCGAAGCGCGCAGCGCUGAGUCAUCCUUCCCCCACAACCA
rnacentral:sRNA from 1 species